rnacentral:rRNA from 1 species
CAGCAGCCACGGUAAUACGGAGGGUGCAAGCGUUAAUCGGAAUUACUGGGCGUAAAGCGCACGCAGGCGGUCUGACAAGUCAGAUGUGAAAUCCCCGGGCUUAACCUGGGAACUGCAUUUGAAACUGUCAGGCUGGAGUCUUGUAGAGGGGGGUGGAAUUCCAGGUGUAGCGGUGAAAUGCGUAGAGAUCUGGAGGAAUACCGGUGGCGAAGGCGGCCCCCUGGACAAAGACUGACGCUCAGGUGCGAAAGCGUGGGGAGCAAACAGGAUUAGAUACCCCUGUAGUCCCUGUCUCUUAUAA